rnacentral:lncRNA from 1 species
GAUCCCCAGAAAAUCCACACACCGUUUACAUAUGCUUGCCUUUCUUCUUUCCCUUUUCCUCCCUUAGCUCAUCCUUCCUCCAUUUCCUCCCUCAGACGAACUGGGCUUUUUCACUUGUUCCCUCCAUCCCACACUCCUGUCCCCAUUCUGUCCUUACAGUAUACUUGUGUUGUUAGAGAUAAGUGUUAGCAUAUGAAACUCUCUCUCUGUCAGUCUCUGUAUGUGAGGUGUGUAUAUGUGUGUGUGAAAGAAAGACAGAGAGAGACAGAGACAGAGACAGAGACAGAACACAGAGAGAAACAGCAUUCCUACUCCUGAUGAUGAUACUUACUUUGUCCUUCUCCAUGUAUUCAGAUCCUUAGGAUCCCAGGCAUCAGUUCCCUUGAGAGCUCAAAGCAGCCAUAACUUUCAGCCCUCAAAAUCUUCCUAGUAAGGUUCUCCAGGUAUGUUUUUUCUUAACUGUUCUGCAAACAUGGGGCAGUGAGUUCAAUUCCAGGGCAUCUCCAGUCUGCAAGUCUACGUGCCAGCUGCGGAGAGGUGGACCAGGAGGAAGCACAGCUCAGAAAAAGGAUAGAGCCAGCAGCACAGCUCCCGUGGCAAAGAAGUACCAGAUUGGCUAUGCUCUUGGCAAACCUUCCCCGAAAAGGGACUUCUGGCAAGCAGAAAGGAUUCUAGUUUCCCCUACCAUUCCCUGACCGAGAUCCAAAGAUCACAGCAAAUGGAUUCGCUUUUUCCCUUUCGCUUUCUCUGCCAGGGCGGAGGGAGAGAACCUGGGGUAAGGAUAUAUUGGCAUUCUUGAUACUACACUGCCAUCCAGCGGAAUACCUUUGCUGUUCCUGUCUACACUUCCAAG